rnacentral:tRNA from 1 species
GCCUCCUUAACUCAAUUGGUAGAGUAUUGGUUUUGUAAACCAAAUGUUGUCGGUUCAAGUCCGACAGGAGGCU